UGCAUAGAAAUACGCGAAAGAGAAAGAUGAAAAGGGGGACGGCUCAAGGCAAAUAUUGUCCAUUUUAACACGGCUUAUCUAUCCGCGGCGCUUGUGUUCAAGCGCUCUGGCGGCGAGGCCGGCAGCCUGACGUGCGCGAGCCUGCCUGAAAAGCACCUCUGAAGACAUGCGGUCGUGGAGAAUUGCGUCUCGGGGGCACGAAUUGCAUUCCUAUCUGCACAAGGACGAGCCGUGUGUUUAGAGCGCCUUUUUGAAAACAGACAAAGGGCGCGGUGUCAAAGUGUUAUGAAACGCCGAAGGCUGGAGCAAUCAAACGCCUAUUGAUUUCAGAGCGUCUUCAGUCAGAAAUGAUUUUCUGCAGCAUAAUGGAUAGCGAGGAGGGAAAAUGAUUGUCUCAGAGAGGUUCACGGGAGAUGUGCAUCCACCUACUCCACCUCCACAUCUGGGAAGCAAGACAGAGGGAGGAGAAGAAAAAAAAAAAAAAACAAGCUUCAUGGUAAGUGGUGAGCAUCUGGAAAAUGAAUAAAUGGAAUACAAUGCACAACUCCUGAAAUCUUUAUGUUCCAGAAAAACAUUUCUGACAUAGCUUGAAAUAUCAUAAAGACCCCUGUGAAACCCUCUUCAUUGUUAUUGGAGUGAUGGCAGAUGCCGCCUCCAGCACUUCAUCGAGGAUUCAAAGGAAUGUUGUCUGCAAAAUGCUGAAAGAACAGAGAUUCCACUUCAGUUGAAGAUAGAACCCGUCAUCCUUUCAUGCUUUACAUUGAGUCAGAAAGUGCUCUGGGAAAAGCGCUUUCUUCCAUGGGCCCGCUUUCUUCUUCCAAAUUUAAAGAGUGAACACGCAGGGCACCUCCGACAGUCAUCAACAGGACCGAAGUCUGAAUUCCAACCGAUCUGAGGUCGAAAAGGCGCAAAAGGAACAUCGUAAACUAAGGUCUGGAAUGACGAGAUGAUUAUUGUAUCUGCCCAGCUGUCACACACAAUACCAGAUAUAUCAUAAUCCCACCAAUAAUUUCACCUCAACCUGUAUCUUAUCCAUUGCAAAACCAGAUUUGCCACAAUCGGAUACACUUAAGUCAGCAAUGUAAAUGAUGAGUCCAAUCUUUCAACUCUAUUCUGCAUCGCACUGAGUACAUCGUCGCCAAUCAAUCACCGUAGUUCCAGCAAGCCGAGCGCUGACUUGUGAAGAUGGAUAAAAAAAGCUGUCGGAAAGUAGGACAGUGAGGUGAGGGGGACUAGUUUAUAGACUUGCGGUUCAUCCUUUGCGGUCUUUGAUCCUGUCCACGGUGGCUCAGCCUCACAUGCGCACCGGCUGGCCCAGACUCAGCGGUGGCCUAAAAAUAUCUGUCGAGUAUCUUCUCCGGCAACCGGUGAGAGUGAAAAAUGCUGCCUUCUCACCAAGGUGCCAGAAAGCAAAUUCGACCUUCAUGUGCACUGUACUUUCAAACUGCAUUCUGACACUUCAAAUCGACUUGAAAGUGUGUCUAAGUUAUGCAAAAAAAGUGAAAUGCUGCGUUAGACACAUCUACCAAAAGUACAUUUUCAUUUUAUUAAGGACUCCGGAUAUUAUUUCACCAAGAAAAGCUCAAAAUAUGUACACAAUACUAAAAUUGAAAUUGGAUGUUCUCGGUUUCCAGCCGCUUCAAUGUUAUGAACUUCCUUUCAACUCAUAUUGUAUGCGCAGCCAAACACACACUCACAUUCAGAACGAGAUGGAAUGAUGGCUGGAUGACAAAAAUAUGCAUUGUCAAAGUUCGAAGUGUUGAAAUGUAUUAACAGUAACCCAAUUUUAACACGUGCCACAUGCUUCAUGAUGGCGAUGUCAUCAUUUGAACCAGACACUGAUUUUUUUUUCUCUGUUGCUAUUAUUCUUGAUGGGAUUUUUUUUUUUCCAACACUACACAAAUCAGGCGUCAGCCGUCGUCUCAGAACUGUUUGCGUUCCAACAUCAGCAAUUCCACUGUAUGUGACUUGAGGGUAAGUAUACAGCUUGGAUCACCCUCUGGGAUAAAUAUAUUCAGCUGACAUUUUAAUAAGCACACUACAACCAUCGGGUGAAUAAUGUUUUGGCUCGUAUUGUAUUUUCAGUGACGAAAAAACAAAAUGUCUUGUCAACCACCCCCGCGGGACCCUCCUACAUGCCAUCAGGUGGUAGUUGUUGCGGCGAAGGCGUUCAAUGUGCUCACACGGGGAUCAAACACACGUCCGCAAUCAUCAAAGACGUUUCCCUCUUACAUCCUGAAACAAUCACAGAGAGGAUUCGGAGCUGCAGCUGCUGGGCGAAGAGGCGCAGACGUCACCGGCCCUCGGUUUUGCGUACGUGCGUGAGUGUAUGUGUGGAGUGUGCCGUGCGCGUUUUGUGCGUGCAUUCACGCUUGAAGAAGGCCAACAGAAGUGUGACUCAAGUAGAUGUGAGCACCAAGCAAUUCAGUAAGCAGGAGUCCGUGAAUUAUCCACAGACCUUUGAGCACAAGCUCCCAUCAAAUUGUUCAAAUUUCAAUGCAAAGUGUAUCACCCUUGAGUGGGCGUAUUUAAAUCCGAGCGUGGUUUAGUGGCGGGGGGAGGUUCAACAUCGUAGCGGGAUCCUUUCCACUGCAGCCGUUGAGUUUAACCCUUUUGGGUUUUUGUUCUACAUGACUAUUGAUCGGUCUACUUUCAAGUGCCAAGAUCCAUAUCUGAAAUGAGGAAAGCAGCAUGAAAAUUGCCAACAAGAAAAUACAUCCCGGUACUAAUACUGUUACUGUCCUAGGAAUGCUUCAGAGGAACAACUCAGAGUUACAGCGACAAUAAAUCCCUCGGCCGACUUAAAAAUGUCAUCACGGGAAUGUUCCCCCAUUGUGAGCAAGACAAGUAGGCAAUUUGCUAAGUCCUCCACGGCCGACGCAAGCCGUGGAGGGAAAUGUGUCAAUGUAAAUGUAGACCACACAGUAGCUCGGGCAAAUGCUGCAAAGAUACCGCCAAGGUAUCCAUUACCAUGGAAGACAUGUGAUAUCUGGCCACUCAAAUUGUCUGGUUAGAGAACAGCUGAAGGGCAACGGAGGGGGGGAGGAAGGAGAGAGGAAGGGCGAGCUAGUCGGGGGGGAUGUAUCACCGCUUUACUGGAUUUCCACUGUUAAACGUAUCACUGAUACCUGAGGGGAAAAUAACCAAUCAAUAAACCUCCGUCUCCAGCUCCCCUUUCAUUUUUGCCUUGCACUCGCAUGUCUGUUUCCAUCAAACACACCCCGCCCCCUCCCCACCCAAAAGUACACUCAACCUCAGCAUGUUCACUCCCUUCAAAAUGCUAGCGAGAAUGAUCGAGGAGAGAAGAUUCCACUCCGGCUGACAUAAAAGUGUCAUUACGCUUUGUGUAAAUGGUAACCUCUUUAAAGACGUGAGUGUUACGCCUCUGGCCGAGCUCUCUGCAAAUACAGAACCCGAAAUAAAAAGAUGAUACACCACUCAAGUGCGUCCAUCACAUCAAAAUGGGAGUAGUACUCAGUGGAGCGCGGACCGAGGCUCAACCGAACAAACAUAACAAAAGGCAUUUGUGUCCAUUUCCCCAACCCCACGUUAGCAUGCGACACUUGCAAGAUGACAAGACCGUACCGUUUUUUUUUUGGGGGCCUGAUCGUGACUGGACAUAAAUGAAUGCAAAGGGCAACCGGUCUGAAAUAACAAGGUGCCAAAGUCAGAGUUCAUGUUGGCUAAGAAUCUUCUCUCCCUGAAGAACCCCAAAGUCCGAAACCCUUCAUGUGUUUUCAGGACCGAUCUGUAAAGCAGAUGUUCUUGCACUGAGGACAAACAACCACAGACAGAUUUGAUGCACAUGAACCGUGUUUUGUUGGCACUGCAGUGCUCUGCAGCUUUGAAUGAACGUAGACAGCAUCCAGCAGCUUUUAGUUCCAGUCUUGUCAUGUUUUCUCUGCUAAUGGGUUCUCGCCCUGAUUUUAAAGGCACAGAAGGUCAGGAGGAUCUGAACUUUACCAAAGUGAAUUUCUCAUGUGAUUGCACCACUCUAGGAGCGCAACAACAAACAGACACUUGAUAUUUAAUUCAUAAGGAGUGAGGAGACUAUUCUUAAACCAAAAAAACUAAGCAAAAAAAAAAAAAAACC